ACAUAACUGAAAAUAUUUUCUGAGGCAUUAAAUACAAAAUCCUAAGCUAAGUUCAUGUUAAUAAACUUUAGUCUUAUUUUUACAGAAUGAUAAAAUAAACCUUUAAAAAAAAAGAUGAGCCUGUAAUCCCAGCACUUUGGGAGGCCGAGGCGGGCGGAUCACGAAGUCAGGAGAUCAAGACCCCAUCUCUACUAAAAACACAGAAAAAAAAAAAUUAGCUGGGCAUGGUGGCAGGUGCCUGUAGUCCCAGCUACUCAGGAGGCUGAGGCAGGAGAAUGGCAUGAACCCAGGAGGCGGAGCUUGCAGUGAGCUGAGAUCACGCCACUGCACUCCAGCCUGGGCGACAGAGCGAGACUCCAUCUCAAAAAAAAAAAAAAAAAGAGAAACAGAGAUGAUAGUAAUUAUAGUAAUUAUACCCCUGCAUUCUUGAACCACCCUAUUUGAACAGCCAGUCUGUUAAUACUAUAUAAAUAAUGUCUAAGAGCAUAAAAUAGACAUUAUUUUUAGUGGGCUGCUAACUCGGAGGGUACAUGGAUUACUUAAUGUAGUCUAUCUGGGAGAAAUAUAAUUAAAAACAAAAUUUCCUCCUAACCUAG
rnacentral:lncRNA from 10 species